rnacentral:tRNA from 1 species
AAAGGUUUAAGUUAAACCAAACUAAUAGCCUUCAAAGCUAUCAAUAGAUAAUGUCUAAUCUUUA